CUGGAUGUAGCCUAAUUGGCAAGGCGCUUGGUUUGGGGCCAAGAGAUUGUGAGUUCAAGUCUCACCUUCCAGAC
rnacentral:tRNA from 1 species